GAUGAACGCUGGCGGCGUGCCUAAUACAUGCAAGUCGAGCGAACGGACGAGAAGCUUGCUUCUCUGAUGUUAGCGGCGGACGGGUGAGUAACACGUGGAUAACCUACCUAUAAGACUGGGAUAACUUCGGGAAACCGGAGCUAAUACCGGAUAAUAUUUUGAACCGCAUGGUUCAAAAGUGAAAGACGGUCUUGCUGUCACUUAUAGAUGGAUCCGCGCUGCAUUAGCUAGUUGGUAAGGUAACGGCUUACCAAGGCAACGAUGCAUAGCCGACCUGAGAGGGUGAUCGGCCACACUGGAACUGAGACACGGUCCAGACGCCUACGGGAGGCAACAGUAGGGAAUCUUCCGCAAUGGGCGAAAGCCUGACGGAGCAACGCCGCGUGAGUGAUGAAGGUCUUCGGAUCGUAAAACUCUGUUAUUAGGGAAGAACAUAUGUGUAAGUAACUGUGCACAUCUUGACGGUACCUAAUCAGAAAGCCACGGCUAACUACGUG
rnacentral:rRNA from 1 species